rnacentral:rRNA from 1 species
AGAGUUUGAUCCUGGCUCAGGAUGAACGCUGGCGGCGUGCUUAAUACAUGCAAGUCGAACGAAGACAUCUCGCCGAAGCUUGCUUCAUUGAGAUAUCUUAGUGGCGGACGGGUGAGUAACGCGUGGGUAACCUGCCUUACACAGGGGGAUAACAGUUAGAAAUGACUGCUAAUACCGCAUAAGCGCACAUUAUCGCAUGAUAGAGUGUAGAAAAGAUUUAUCGGUGUAAGAUGGACCCGCGUCUGAUUAGCUAGUUGGUGAGGUAACGGCCCACCAAGGCGACGAUCAGUAGCCGGCCUGAGAGGGUGAACGGCCACAUUGGGACUGAGACACGGACCCAAACUCCUACGGGAGGCAGCAGUAGGGAAUAUUGGACAAUGGGGGAAACCCUGAUCCAAGCGACGCCGCGUGAGUGAAGAAGUAUUUCGGUACGUAAAGCUCUAUCAGCAGGGAAGAAAAUGACGGUACCUGACUAAGAAGCACCGGCUAAAUACGUGCCAGCAGCCGC